GCACAUUCGCCACUCUAAAAACGACAGAUAAAAACGAAAACAAGGAACAUAAUCAAAACGUAUCUACCUGUAAAGCUGCUUUGAAUCACCUUCCAGAUCGUUUACUUCCCUGGAAUUAUAAACAAGUUAAUAUGAAGGUGAUAAAUUGUUCGGAUGUUUCCGUAGAUGGCGGCACUGAACAAAUGUCUGUGAUGCCUGCGAU
rnacentral:sRNA from 1 species